rnacentral:rRNA from 1 species
UACGAGGGGUCUAAGCGUUGUUCGGAAUCACUGGGCGUAAAGCGGGUGUAGGUGGCUUGGUAAGUUAGGUGUGAAAUCCCCGGGCUCAACCCGGGAAGUGCAUCUAAAACUACUUAGCUUGAGUACGGGAGAGGGAAGCAGAAUUCCUGGUGUAGGGGUGAAAUACGUAGAUAUCAGGAGGAACACCGGUGGCGAAGGCGGUUUCCUGGCCCAGUACUGACACUCAGACCCGAAAGCGUGGGUAGCAAACAGG